UCGGAAUUACUGGGCGUAAAGCGCAUGCAGGUGGUUUGUUAAGUUCAGAUGUGAAAGACCCGGGGCGUCAACCUCGGAAUUGCAUUUGAAACUAGGCAAACUAGAGUACUGUAGAGGGGGGUAGGAAUUUCAGGUGUAGCGGUGAAAUGCGUAGAGAUCUGAAGGAAUACCGGUGGCGAAGGCGGCCCCCUCGGACAGAUACUGACACUCAGAUGCGAAAGCGUGGGGAGCAAACAGGAUUAGAUACCCUGGUAG
rnacentral:rRNA from 1 species